UACGGAGGGUGCAAGCGUUAUCCGGAUUCACUGGGUUUAAAGGGUGCGUAGGUGGGUUGGUAAGUCAGUGGUGAAAUCUCCGAGCUUAACUUGGAAACUGCCAUUGAUACUAUUAGUCUUGAAUAUUGUGGAGGUCAGCGGAAUAUGUCAUGUAGCGGUGAAAUGCUUAGAUAUGACAUAGAACACCAAUUGCGAAGGCAGCUCACUACGGAUAUAUUGACACUGAGGCACGAAAGCGUGGGGAUCAAACAGG
rnacentral:rRNA from 1 species